rnacentral:piRNA from 1 species
CCCCAAGUACUCACAUAUGGAGUUUGU